rnacentral:rRNA from 1 species
UGGGGAAUCUUCCGCAAUGGACGAAAGUCUGACGGAGCAACGCCGCGUGAGUGAUGACGGCCUUCGGGUUGUAAAGCUCUGUUAAUCGGGACGAAUGGUUCUUGUGCGAAUAGUGCAAGGAUUUGACGGUACCGGAAUAGAAAGCCACGGCUAACUACGUGCCAGCAGCCGCGGUAAUACGUAGGUGGCAAGCGUUGUCCGGAAUUAUUGGGCGUAAAGCGCGCGCAGGCGGAUUGGUCAGUCUGUCUUAAAAGUUCGGGGCUUAACCCCGUGAUGGGAUGGAAACUGCCAAUCUAGAGUAUCGGAGAGGAAAGAGGAAUUCCUAGUGUAGCGGUGAAAUGCGUAGAUAUUAGGAAGAACACCAGUGGCGAAGGCGACUUUCUGGACGAAAACUGACGCUGAGGCGCGAAAGCCAGGGGAGCGAACGGG